rnacentral:lncRNA from 1 species
UAAAUGUGGAAAUUUUGUUUUACCUGCAUGGCGAACGCCAUGAGGGUUGUUGCGAACGCCACAAGCUUCAGAAACAUAAUUUUUUUUUGUGGUUCAGGAAAAAAUUAAAAUGCAUAAAAUGAUAUCAAAUAAUUCAAUAUAAAAUAAUACAUUCUAAAAAUAAAAUAAAACAAAAUGACAUUAAUAAAAAAUAUAAAAUAUUCGCUAUGUUUUCGUCGAUAGCACAACACAAUAAUAAAAAAUCGACGAAGAAUCAUAAAAUAAAAGUCUUGAAAGGAAAUACUAAAUAGAAAGCAUGAAAUGGUAUCCUUCCCCACACUUAAACAAAGCAUUAUCCAUAGUGAUUCAGUGUCAAGCUGGAAUGCGGAAAAAAAAUCUUAUAGAU